UCUCCGUUGGUGAACCAGCGGAGGGAUCAUUACAGGACUCGCAAGACUCCUACAACCCUGUGAACUUAACUAUAAGCACGUUGCUUCGGCGGGUGUCUCGGAGGGGGUUCUCCCACCCCGAGACGCUAAACCCGCCGGCAGCCUACUAUACUCUGUCUCUUUGCCUUGGCAUCUCGAGUACAAUCAAACAAGUUAAAACUUUCAACAACGGAUCUCUUGGUUCUGGCAUCGAUGAAGAACGUAGC
rnacentral:misc_RNA from 1 species